GGCAUAGUGGCCAAGUGGCAAGGCAUUGGUCUCGUCUGCCAAAGCUCAUGGGUUCAAUCCCCAUCUGUGCCU